AGUUGGAAGAUUAGUUAAUACCGCAUACGACCUGAGGGUGAAAGUGGGGGACCGCAAGGCCUCACGCAGCAGGAGCGGCCGAUGUCUGAUUAGCUAGUUGGUGGGGUAAAGGCCUACCAAGGCAUCGAUCAGUAGCUGGUCUGAGAGGACGACCAGCCACACUGGAACUGAGACACGGUCCAGACUCCUACGGGAGGCAGCAGUGGGGAAUUUUGGACAAUGGGGGCAACCCUGAUCCAGCAAUGCCGCGUGAGUGAAGAAGGCCUUCGGGUUGUAAAGCUCUUUUGUCAGGGAAGAAACGGUGAGGGCUAAUAUCCUUUGCUAAUGACGGUAC
rnacentral:rRNA from 1 species